UCAUUAAACUAACAACAACAACAACAAAAAAAAAAUAAGGAUAUAUAUAUUAAAAAAAAAAUAAAAAAUGGAUAAUUCACUGGGUCCUUCGGAUUUAGAGUGUUUAAUCUGUGCUGAUGUGUUUUAUGAACCAGUGACACUUCCAUGUGGACAUACAUUUGAUAAAGCAUGUCUUUGUAA
rnacentral:rRNA from 1 species